CCUACGGGGGGCAGCAGUGAGGAAUCUUCCACAAUGGGGGAAACCCUGAUGGAGCAACGCCGCGUGCAGGAUGAAGGCCCUCGGGUCGUAAACUGCUUUUAUUAGCGAAGAAUAUGACGGUAACUAAUGAAUAAGGGUCGGCUAACUACGUGCCAGCAGCCGCGGUCAUACGUAGGACCCAAGCGUUAUCCGGAGUGACUGGGCGUAAAGAGUUGCGUAGGCGGUUCGUAAAGCGAAUAGUGAAAUCUGAUGGCUCAACCAUCAUCACAUUAUUCGAACUCACGAACUCGAGAAUGGUAGAGGUAGCUGGAAUUUCCUGUGUAGGAGUGAAAUCCGUAGAUAUAGGAAGGAACACCAAUGGCGUAGGCAGGCUACUGGACCAUUUCUGACGCUGAGGCACGAAAGCGUGGGGAGCGAACCGGCUUAGAUACCCCGGUAGUC
rnacentral:rRNA from 1 species